UACGUAGGGACCGAGCGUUGUCCGGAUUCAUUGGGCGUAAAGAGCUCGUAGGCGGCUGCUCAAGUCGAAUGUGAAAACUCGAGGCUCAACCUCGAGCCUGCAUUCGAUACUGGGCGGCUAGAGUCUGGUAGGGGGAUCUGGAAUUCCUGGUGUAGCGGUGGAAUGCGCAGAUAUCAGGAGGAACACCGGUGGCGAAGGCAGGAUCCUGGGCCAGUACUGACGCUGAGGAGCGAAAGCGUGGGGAGCAAACAGG
rnacentral:rRNA from 1 species